rnacentral:rRNA from 1 species
UACGUAGGCAGCAAGCGUUGUUCGGAGUUACUGGGCGUAAAGGGUGCGUAGGUGGCUCUAUAAGUAUGGUGUGAAAUCUCCCGGCUUAACUGGGAGGGUGCGCCGUAGACUGUGGGGCUAGAGUGUGGGAGAGGAAAGUGGAAUUCCUGGUGUAGCGGUGAAAUGCGUAGAUAUCAGGAGGAACACCUGCGGUGUAGACGGCUUUCUGGACCAUUGUUGACGCUGAGACACGAAAGCGUGGGUAGCAAACAGG